rnacentral:lncRNA from 1 species
GGAAAGUGAUGGUAAGUGGAGUUCCCACUACCCAAACUUAGGUCGGGUACUUGCGUCGCACCGUGUGAUAAAUGGUGGCAAGCCGAAUAUCCUUCGACCGGUCUCGACCCGGUCAGUAAGUCGCGAACGCGACAUCGGUUGCGUCGGCGCUUUGCCUUUUUCGGCCGGAGCUGGGUCGGCAAGUCGGCCGAUCGUUCUUGUUCGAUCACUUUGGUUGAGAUUUUUAGAUGUAGAAGGAG